GACGAACGCUGGCGGCGUGCCUAAUACAUGCAAGUCGAACGCUGAAGAGGGGAGCUUGCUCUUCUUGGAUGAGUUGCGAACGGGUGAGUAACGCGUAGGUAACCUGCCUUGUAGCGGGGGAUAACUAUUGGAAACGAUAGCUAAUACCGCAUAACAAUGGAUGACACAUGUCAUUUAUUUGAAAGGGGCAAUUGCUCCACUACAAGAUGGACCUGCGUUGUAUUAGCUAGUAGGUGAGGUAACGGCUCACCUAGGCGACGAUACAUAGCCGACCUGAGAGGGUGAUCGGCCACACUGGGACUGAGACACGGCCCAGACUCCUACGGGAGGCAGCAGUAGGGAAUCUUCGGCAAUGGGGGCAACCCUGACCGAGCAACGCCGCGUGAGUGAAGAAGGUUUUCGGAUCGUAAAGCUCUGUUGUAAGUCAAGAACGAGUGUGAGAGUGGAAAGUUCACACUGUGACGGUAGCUUACCAGAAAGGGACGGCUAACUACGUG
rnacentral:rRNA from 1 species